rnacentral:rRNA from 1 species
AACGAACGCUGGCGGCAGGCUUAACACAUGCAAGUCGAGCGCCCCGCAAGGGGAGCGGCCGCCGGGUGAGUAACGCGUGGGAACGUACCUUUUGGUUCGGAACAACUCCGGGAAACUGGAGCUAAUACCGGAUAGGCCCUAACGGGGAAAGAUUUAUCGCCGAAAGAUCGGCCCGCGUCUGAUUAGCUAGUUGGUGAGGUAACGGCUCACCAAGGCGACGAUCAGUAGCUGGUCUGAGAGGAUGAUCAGCCACACUGGGACUGAGACACGGCCCAGACUCCUACGGGAGGCAGCAGUGGGGAAUAUUGGACAAUGGGCGCAAGCCUGAUCCAGCCAUGCCGCGUGAGUGAUGAAGGCCUUAGGGUUGUAAAGCUCUUUUGUCCGGGAAGAUAAUGACUGUACCGGAAGAAUAAGCCCCGGCUAACUUCGUG